GAUGAAGAACGUAGCGAAAUGCGAUAAGUAAUGUGAAUUGCAGAAUUCAGUGAAUCAUCGAAUCUUUGAACGCACAUUGCGCCCGCCAGUAUUCUGGCGGGCAUGCCUGUUCGAGCGUCAUUUCAACCAUCAAGCCCCCCGGCUUGUGUUGGGGACCUGCGGCUGCCGCGGGCCCUGAAAAGCAGUGGCGGGCUCGCUGUCACACCGAGCGUAGUAGCAUACAUCUCGCUCUGGGCGUGCUGCGGGUUCCGGCCGUUAAACCACCUUCAUAACCCAAGGUUGACCUCGGAUCAGGUAGGAAGACCCGCUGAACUUAAGCAUAUCAAUAAGCGGAGGA
rnacentral:misc_RNA from 1 species